ACGGCUCAGUAACACGUAGACAACUGCCCAAAGGUCCGGGAUAACCCCGGGAAACUGGGGAUAAUACCGGAUAAAUCACAAGUACUGGAAGGUUUUGUGGUUGAAACUUCCGGGGCCUUUGGAUGGGUCUGCGGCUGAUUAGGUUGUUGCCGGUGUAACGUACCGUCAAGCCUGUAAUCAGUACGGGUUGUGGGAGCAAGAGCCCGGAGAUGGAUUCUGAGACACGAAUCCAGGCCCUACGGGGCGCAGCAGGCGCGAAAACUCUACAAUGCAGGCAACUGCGAUAGGGGAACAUCGAGUGAUACUCAUCUUGGGUGUCUGUCCUCCCGUCUAAAAAACGGGAGUUAGCAAGGGCCGGGCAAGACCGGUGCCAGCCGCCGCGGUAAUACCGGCGGCUCGAGUGGUGGCCGAUAUUAUUGAGUCUAAAGGGUCCGUAGCCGGCUUUGCAAGUCUUUUGGGAAAUCCAGCGGCUUAACCGUUGGUCGUCCGGGAGAUACUACAUUGCUUGGGACUGGGAGAGGUAGGAGGUACUCAGGGGGUAGGAGUGAAAUCCUGUAAUCCUUUGGGGACCACCGGUGGCGAAGGCGUCCUACCAGAACAGGUCCGACGGUGAGGGACGAAAGCUAGGGGCACGAACCGGAUUAGAUACCCGGGUAGUCCUAGCCGUAAACGAUGCUCGCUAGGUGUCACAACAAUCGUGAAUUGUUGUGGUGCCGUAGGGAAGCCGUGAAGCGAGCCACUUGGGAAGUACGACCGCAAGGUUGAAACUUAAAGGAAUUGGCGGGGGAG
rnacentral:rRNA from 1 species